GCUGUUGUAGUAUAGUGGUGAUUACGUCACGUUGUGGCCGUGACAACCCAGGUUCGAUUCCUGGCAACAGCA
rnacentral:tRNA from 2 species